rnacentral:misc_RNA from 1 species
AGAGUGAAAAGUACGUGAAAUUGUUGAAAGGGAAACGAUUGAAGUCAGUCGUACAGUCGGAAAUCAACCUUUUGAGCGUGGAUUCGUGGGAUUCAAAGAAGCCUUUUGUUCUCGCGGUAUUUGCGUUUUUUUGGCGUACUUUCCUGUAUUGUAGGUCAGCGUCGGUUUCGAUCGUUAUAAAAUGAUCGGAGGAAUGUAGCUUCGACUUCAGUCUGAAGUGUUAUAGACUUCGGUAUAUGUAACGGUCUGGAUCGAGGAUUGCAACGGAUACCCAAAUGGGCUACCCGUCUGAUCUCUGAUUCGUAACUCUGGCUUCGAAAGCUUUGCUUACGGUGUUAGAGUUUCGGUCAAAAGGUUAGAACGGGUUAAAUUCGUUAAGGAUGUUGACGUAAUGGCUUUAACCGA